rnacentral:antisense_RNA from 1 species
UGUGGGGGCGAGCUUGCUCGCGAUAGCGGUGUAUCAGUCAUAUUUCCUUUGCUGAUCCUGCGCUAUCGCGAGCAAGCUCGCUCCCACA